UACAGAGGGGGCAAGCGUUGUUCGGAAUUACUGGGCGUAAAGGGCGCGUAGGCGGCCUGCUAAGUCGAACGUGAAAUCCCUGGGCUCAACCCAGGAACUGCGUCCGAUACUGGUUGGCUUGAAUCCGGGAGAGGGAUGUGGAAUUCCAGGUGUAGCGGUGAAAUGCGUAGAUAUCUGGAGGAACACCGGUGGCGAAGGCGACAUCCUGGACGGUAACUGACGCUGAGACGCGAAAGCGUGGGGAGCAAACAGG
rnacentral:rRNA from 1 species